rnacentral:rRNA from 1 species
GUGGGGAAUAUUGGACAAUGGGCGCAAGCCUGAUCCAGCCAUGCCGCGUGAGUGAUGAAGGCCUUAGGGUUGUAAAGCUCUUUCGUCAGUGAAGAUAAUGACGGUACCUGAAGAAGAAGCCCCGGCUAACUUCGUGCCAGCAGCCGCGGUAAUACGAAGGGGGCUAGCGUUGCUCGGAAUCACUGGGCGUAAAGCGCACGUAGGCGGCUUUCUAAGUCAGGGGUGAAAUCCUGGAGCUCAACUCCAGAACUGCCUUUGAUACUGGAGAGCUUGAGUUCGGGAGAGGUGAGUGGAACUGCGAGUGUAGAGGUGAAAUUCGUAGAUAUUCGCAAGAACACCAGUGGCGAAGGCGGCUCACUGGCCCGAUACUGACGCUGAGGUGCGAAAGCGUGGGGAGCAAACAGGAUUAGAAACCCCAGUAGUCC